rnacentral:sRNA from 1 species
GAAUCAAAAGCAGGAUUUCAUAUUGUUUCUCCUUUUAAAUUACAAAAUACAGGGGAGAUUAU